rnacentral:rRNA from 1 species
UACGUAGGGGGCAAGCGUUGACCGGAUUUAUUGGGCGUAAAGAGCGUGUAGGCGGUUAGGUAGGUCCGUUGUGAAAACUCGAGGCUCAACCUCGAGACGCCGAUGGAAACCAUCUGACUAGAGUCCGGAAGAGGAGAGUGGAAUUCCUGGUGUAGCGGUGAAAUGCGCAGAUAUCAGGAAGAACACCCGUGGCUAAGGCGGCUCUCUAGUACGUGACUGACGCUGAGACGCGAAAGCGUGGGGAGCGAACAGG